rnacentral:rRNA from 1 species
CCUACGGGAGGCAGCAGUGAGGAAUAUUGGUCAAUGGGCGGCAGCCUGAACCAGACAAGUAGCGUGCAGGAUGACGGCCCUACGGGUUGUAAACUGCUUUUAUACGGGAAUAACGCGCCUUACGUGUAGGGCUUUGCAUGUACCGUAUGAAUAAGGACCGGCUAAUUCCGUGCCAGCAGCCGCGGUAAUACGGAAGGUCCGGGCGUUAUCCGGAUUUAUUGGGUUUAAAGGGAGCUUAGGCCGCAUGUCAAGCGUGCUGUGAGAUGUCCGGACUCAACCCGGGCCUUGCAGCGCGAACUGGCGUGCUUGAGUCCGCGGAAAGCAGGCGGAAUUCGUCGUGUAGCGGUGAAAGGCUUAGAUAUGACGAAGAACCCCGAUUGCGAAGGCAGCUUGCUGCAGCGGAACUGACGCUGAUGCUCGAAAGCGCGGGUAUCGAACAGGAUUAGAUACCCUAGUAGUC